UACGUAGGGUGCGAGCGUUAUUCGGAAUUACUGGGCGUAAAGCGUGCGCAGGCGGUUUGUUAAGUCUGCUGUGAAAUCCCCGAGCUCAACUUGGGAAUUGCAGUGGAUACUGGCAGGCUGGAGUAUGGUAGAGGAAGGUGGAAUUCCCGGUGUAGCAGUGAAAUGCGUAGAGAUCGGGAGGAACACCAGUGGCGAAGGCGGCCUUCUGGACCAAUACUGACGCUCAUGCACGAAAGCGUGGGGAGCAAACAGG
rnacentral:rRNA from 1 species